UUUUUCAGACAGCAUAGCCGUAAAGAAAAAAAAAAUUGGAUCCUACUCUGUCGAUUCAACUGCGAAACAAAGAUGGGUAUUCCCAGGAAAAACAAAUCAUCCAAACGAAGUUUGUUAGGGUCAAUAUUUAUGCGGUAGUUUGUUUUUAUUGUGAGAUUUGCAAACGAAGUUCAAAAAAAUCCUCAGCAACUUGUACAAUUUCGAGUUUGAGUCCUUGGCUACCGAUAAUAAUCCCAGAUUUGAUUUUCAUAAUCAGUAGAGAUGGAAAUAAAAGAGAUUGUCUGAAACCACAAAUCGAAAGGUUUGCAAGGGAGUUCAAAGACAUAUGUACGCUACCAAACAUAAUCCCAAGUAAAUGCUUUGAUUCAUAGAUGAGAUGGAAAUCUAAAUAGAUAGUCCGAAACCAAAAUUCAAAAGGUGUGCAAGGGGAGUUCACAGACAUUUACAUGCUCCAAAAAUUUCUAUCACUGAGGAUAAUUACAAAGAUAAGUAAUCUAAUGAAUACAUCAACGAAUGUUUUAAAAGCAUAGAUUCUCCAUCAAUAACAUAUCUAACGUUUUACAGACUAAAAAGCAAGGAUUUAAACUUUGGAGUUCAGUACAAUCGAGUGAUGACAUGGGACAGUAGCUUUAACAACGAUCAGGUGGGGAAUCCAUGGUUGAUAGAUCAUCGAAAUAGUUAUAGUUGCUCCUCUUCGUUUAAAAGCUUGUUUAGAGCAAGGUGUGAUCCUUUUGCUAGUCAGUGUUUUAUGUGCUUCUCAUGUUCCAUUGAAUGCCACUCUAGUGUUUCGUUCUACUAUACAGACAGGAAAUCAGGUUAAUACUGAUUCAGCUAGCUGUAGCAUGCAAACUAGCGAUACAUUUGCUUCUCAUGUUCCAUUGAAUGCCAUUCCAGUGUUUCGUUCUACUGUGCAAACAGGAAAACAUGUUAAUACUGAUUCAGCUAGCUGUAGCAGGCAAACUAGCGAUACAUUUGCUUCUCAUGUUCCAUUGAAUGCCACUUCAGUGUUUCGUUCUGCUGUGCAAACAAAAAAUCUGGUUAAUACUGAUUCAGCUAACUGUAGCAGGCAAACUUGCGAUAUAUUUGCUGCUCAUUUCCAUUGAAUGUCACUCCAGUGUUUCGUUCUACUGUGCAGACAGGAAAUCAGAAUCUUCUUUAUGAAGGUGUUUCUACAGUCCCUCUGCAUGCUCUUCUGGAUUUUAGUUCUGUCCAUAUUGGAUUUUCACCAACCACGCGAGGAGUUGGUGAUAUUAUGGUGAAUAUUUUAAAACCAAGAAAGAUUUGAUGUUGAGGAUGAAGAAAUGGGCUUUAGAGUGGAAGUUUGAGUACAAGACUGUCUCUUCUAACAAGUCAAGUGUGUUAUUGAAUUGUGUUGAUGACACUUGCACGUGGAGGAUGCGUGCUACCAAGCUACCUCUUGCAGACUUUUUCGUUGUUAAAAAAUAUGUUCAUGAUCAUACAUGCGAUACAACACACAGGAAGGCCAACCACAUACAAGCAUCUGCAAAGUUGUUGGGUUCUUUGAUUUGCAGCAAUUAUGGAGAAAAGAAGGAAAGUCUCAAACCAAAACAGAUCAUUGAACAGGUCAGGAUGCCCAGCGGCUAUCAGAUGAUUCUCCUCAGCCCAGCGGCUAAACACUAAGCACUCUCUCCCAUCCCCCUGGUUCGAUAUGCAAGUGGACUCUAAACUUUUUCUAUUUUUUUUUGUCUGAAAACAUUACAUUUUGAAACUUUCCAUUUAUGCAGAUAUCAAAUCCUUUGUUUUUAAUCUUAUUUCAUUUUUAUUUCUUA